GGAGAGAUGGCUCAGUGGUUAAGAGCACUGGCUGCUCUUCCAGAGGACCUGGGUUCAGUUCCCAGCACCCCCA
rnacentral:tRNA from 1 species